rnacentral:tRNA from 1 species
GCGCCCGUAGCUCAGCUGGAUAGAGCGUUGGACUACGAAUCCAAAGGUCACAGGUUCGAAUCCUGUCGGGCGCACCA